rnacentral:rRNA from 1 species
UACGUAGGGUGCAAGCGUUGUCCGGAAUUAUUGGGCGUAAAGAGCUCGUAGGCGGUCUGUCGCGUCGGCUGUGAAAACUCGGGGCUCAACUCCGAGCUUGCAGUCGAUACGGGCAGGCUAGAGUUCGGCAGGGGAGACUGGAAUUCCUGGUGUAGCGGUGAAAUGCGCAGAUAUCAGGAGGAACACCGGUGGCGAAGGCGGGUCUCUGGGCCGAUACUGACGCUGAGGCACGAAAGCGUGGGGAGCGAACAGG